rnacentral:misc_RNA from 1 species
UUGAAAAAACGUCGUGUCGAUUCGGUGACGAAUGUGAAAGUCAGUGAUAUGGCCGAGAGAAAAUUCAUAACGCCGAGACGGAAGCGGCACAACGACCACCCUUCUGGGUCAAGGCCGUCGGAAAGGUCGGAUGUACCGAAGGAACCGGCGAGACCGCCUAGAACGAGGACGCAGCAGACCGCAAAUGUGACGACGGCUCACAAUUCCAAUUUCGGGAAUGGCACACGUAGCGUAUUUGUGGAAUCACAGCAAAAGCCGACCGAGAAGGCCCCGAUGACGACCCUUGACGAGAACGUGAACCGUGUACCACGACAACAGCAUAAAACAGCCGAAAAUAUGGAUUAUCUAGGAAAACUCGAUCGGAUAGAAAGGCUCUCUCCGGAAAACGGACAGAUCCAAGACAUGGAUGGUGGGCAGCCUGUUCAAGUAGUACUUGCUCAUCCAGAUCAUACCUUUGAAUUAGAUGAAGCUGCAUUGUCAGAAAUUCUCCUACAUGACGACGUGAAAGAUAGAAGUGUGGUUGUAGUAUCUGUUGCUGGUGCCUUCAGGAAAGGCAAAAGUUUCCUUCUUGACUUUUUUCUUCGUUACAUGAACAACAAGUAUAUAUUACAAAAUAAUACCGAUUCCUGGUUGGGCGCCGAGGACGAGCCAUUAAGUGGUUUUUCAUGGCGAGGUGGUUCCGAGAGGGAUACUACAGGAAUAUUGAUGUGGUCGAAGGUUUAUCCCGCUACCUUGGCGAAUGGUGAAGAGAUCGCUGUAAUUCUUAUGGACACUCAAGGCGCUUUCGACAGUCAGUCAACGGUGCGGGAUUGCGCGACAGUGUUCGCAUUGAGUACAAUGCUAUCCUCCGUGCAAAUAUACAACUUGUCGCAAAAUAUUCAGGAGGAUGAUCUUCAGCAUCUACAACUGUUCACCGAAUAUGGUAGAUUGGCGUUAGAGAGCUCCGAUAGUACACCUUUCCAGAGACUACAGUUCUUAGUCAGAGACUGGGUUUAUCCAUAUGAGGCUGAUUAUGGCGCAAAUGGUGGAAAAAAAUUGCUCGACAAAAGACUGGAGAUUUCAGAUAGACAGCAUGCGGAAUUGCAAAGCUUGCGAAAGCACAUUAAGUCCUGUUUUUCGGACAUAUCGUGUUUCCUCAUGCCACAUCCCGGUUUAGAGAUCGCGACGAAUCCGAAAUUCGAUGGUAGAUUAUCUGAGAUACAGACCGAGUUUAAAAAACAAUUAAAAGUGCUCAUACCAAUGAUACUGGCGCCAGAAAAUCUAGUGACCAAAAAGAUCAACGGCCAGGUCGUGAAAGCGAAAGAUCUGUUGGAAUAUUUCAAAAGUUAUAUCAAUCUUUACAAGGGAGAUGAACUUCCCGAACCAAAAAGUAUGCUUGUGGCCACAGCGGAAGCUAAUAACUUAACCGCUGUAGCAGAAGCUAAGGAUUUGUACCUUCAGAUGAUGGAGACCGUGUGCGGUGGAGCGAAACCGUUUUUAGCGACCGCUCACUUAGAAUCUGAACAUCAACAUUGUAUGGAUUCAGCUCUUCGUCAAUUCCAGAAUAAACGAAAGAUGGGCGGAGAAGAAUUCAGUCAAAUAUAUAUGGAAAAAUUAAUUAAGGAUAUGGAUGACGCUUUCUUGCAAUUUAAGGCGCACAAUGAGAGCAAAAAUAUUUUUAAAGCAGCGCGGACGCCAGCAGUGUUUUUCGCAAUUGCCGUUACUAUGUAUAUUUUAUCCGGAAUAUUUGGUCUUGUUGGUCUGUACACAAUAGCGAAUGUAUGUAAUCUUAUUAUGGGUGUUGGCCUUCUCACACUUGUCUUAUGGGCAUAUAUAAGGUAUAGUGGAGAAUUCAGAGAAAUUGGAACACAGAUAGAUGACUUAGCCAGUAAGAUAUGGGAAAAUGUCUGGCUAUGCGCUCAUCUUUGUUAUAAAUUAAUUUAUACAUUAAGAUACCUAAUCCUGUCCAUUAUCGUAAUUGUAUUUGCAAUACCUAUAUGUCAUUUUACUUAUCGCGUUCUUCGCAGACAUGGCUACAUCUGAUCACAUGCUUUUCUUCUUUUCUAAUUUUAGUCUUUAAUUAUCUUUAUUAAUUCCAAAUUGCUUCUUUCUUCAAAUCUUCUGUGUUCCUUACACGUCUAUGUUUUGCACAUUUCUUUCUUACUAACCAAAACCGUUUCAUAAAAGUGUAACUAUUAAUAUUACUAUUUUUUAUUGUCUUUUUUUUUAUUCCUGUCAUAAGCUGAGUGCUAACAGGAGCAAAUAUCUCGAAAAGUUCAUGAAGCCACUCUACCAACAAUUUGUGGAGAAGUCCGUGUCUGUAGCAGUGGC